CCCUUAGAUGUUCUGGGCCGCACGCGCGCUACACUGACGAAUGCAACGAGCUUAUAACCCUGGCCGAAAGGUCUGGGUAAUCUCCAAAUUUCGUCGUGAUGGGGAUAGAUUAUUGCAAUUAUUAAUCUUCAACGAGGAAUGCCUAGUAAGCGCAAGUCAUCAGCUUGCGUUGAUUACGUCCCUGCCCUUUGUACACACCGCCCGUCGCUCCUACCGAUUGAAUGGUCCGGUGAAGCGUUCGGACCGUGGCCUUUGGACGGUUCGCCGUCUGUUGGCUGCGGGAAGUUCGUUAAACCUUAUCAUUUAGAGGAAGGAGAAGUCGUANCA
rnacentral:rRNA from 1 species